CCAAUAGCGUAUAUUAAAGUUGUUGCAGUUAAAAAGCUCGUAGUUGAAUUUCGGGGUUAGUAGAUUGGUCAUGCCUCUGGUAUGCACUGGUCUCACUGAUUCCUCCUUCCUGAUGAGCCGUAAUGCCAUUAAUUUGGUGUUGCGGGGAAUUUGGACUGUUACUUUGAAAAAAUUAGAGUGUUUAAAGCAAGCUAACGCUUGAAUACAUUAGCAUGGAAUAAUGAAAUAGGACGUUCGAUCCUAUUUUGUUGGUUUCUAGGAUUGACGUAAUGAUUAAUAGGGAUAGUUGGGGGCAUUAGUAUUCAAUUGUCAGAGGUGAAAUUCUUGGAUUUAUUGAAGACUAACUACUGCGAAAGCAUUUGCCAAGGAUGUUUUCAUUAAUCAAGAACGAAAGUUAGGGGAUCGAAGACGAUCAGAUACUGUCGUAGUCUUAACCAUAAACUAUGCCGACUAGGGAUCGGAUGAUGUUAAUUUUUUAAUGACUCAUUCGGCGCCUUACG
rnacentral:rRNA from 1 species